AUGCGAUAAGUAAUGUGAAUUGCAGAAUUCCGUGAAUCAUCGAAUCUUUGAACGCACAUUGCGCCCCCUGGCAUUCCGGGGGGCAUGCCUGUCCGAGCGUCAUUUCUGCCCUCAAGCACGGCUUGUGUGUUGGGUGUGGUCCCCCCGGGGACCUGCCCGAAAGGCAGCGGCGACGUCCGUCUGGUCCUCGAGCGUAUGGGGCUCUGUCACUCGCUCGGGAAGGACCUGCGGGGGUUGGUCACCACCAUGUUUUUACCACGGUUGACCUCGGAUCAGGUAGGAGUUACCCGCUGAACUUAA
rnacentral:misc_RNA from 1 species